AACUUACUAGGCCUCAACCCAAUGUAAACAACAACCUUUUGCCUAACCACAAGAAUGCUAAUGUGAACAUGAUAACUAUUGAGGAAGAUUUGGAUUUGAUAGGAACUGUUGUACCAAUUGGCAAGGUUGAAAAGGACACAUCAUUGAUCUUUGAGCUCCUACAAUAACAGUCCAAUAACCAACAUCAAUGGAGGUUACUACUACUAGCACUGAGACACUGACCAUUUGGGGUGCUGAAUCAGAUGAAACUUUGAAGAAUUAGACUUAUACUUCAUAUCUGAUUCGUCG
rnacentral:lncRNA from 1 species